CCUACGGGUGGCAGCAGUGAGGAAUAUUGGUCAAUGGUCGGGAGACUGAACCAGCCAAGCCGCGUGAGGGAGGAAGGUACAGAGUAUCGUAAACCUCUUUUGUCAGGGAACAAAGGCGGGGACGUGUCCCCGGAUGAGUGUACCUGAAGAAAAAGCAUCGGCUACCUCCGUGCCAGCAGCCGCGGUAAUACGGAGGAUGCGAGCGUUAUCCGGUUUUAUUGGGUUUAAGGGGUGCGCAGGCGGUCUGUUAAGUCAGCGGUAAAAGCCCGGGGCUCAACCCCGGCCCGCCGUUGAAACUGGCAGUCUCGAGUUGGAGAGAAGUAUGCGGAAUGCGCGGUGUAGCGGUGAAAUGCAUAGAUAGCGCGCAGAACUCCGAUUGCGAAGGCAGCAUGCCGGCUCCACACUGACGCUGAGGCACGAAAGCGUGGGUAUCGAACAGGAUUAGAUACCCUAGUAGUC
rnacentral:rRNA from 1 species